rnacentral:rRNA from 1 species
GUCCACGCCGUAAACGAUGAGAACUUGCUGUUGGGCACGUUUAGUGCAAAGUAGCGUAGCUAACGCGAUAAGUUCUCCGCCUGGGGAGUACGGCCGCAAGGUUAAAACUCAAAGGAAUUGACGGGGGCCCGCACAAGCGGUGGAGCAUGUGUUUUAAUUUCGAUGCAACGCGAUGAACCUUACCUACUCUUGUAUCUCCGGAAUUUUGUCAGAGAUGCGAAGGUGCCUUCGGGAACCGGAAGACAGGUGCUGCAUGGCUGUCGU